rnacentral:rRNA from 1 species
UACAGAGGGGGCAAGCGUUGUUCGGAAUUACUGGGCGUAAAGGGCGCGUAGGCGGCCUGCUAAGUCGAACGUGAAAUCCCCGGGCUCAACCCGGGAACUGCGUCCGAUACUGGUUGGCUUGAAUCCGGGAGAGGGAUGCGGAAUUCCAGGUGUAGCGGUGAAAUGCGUAGAUAUCUGGAGGAACACCGGUGGCGAAGGCGGCAUCUGGACCGACACUGACGCUGAGGCGCGAAAGCUAGGGGAGCAAACGGG